rnacentral:lncRNA from 1 species
AAUCAAAUGAGAUUUGUCCUCUACAAAGUUUGAAAGCCUUUUUGCAAAUUAGACCUGGAAAUGAUGGUCCUCUUUUUUGCCAUAUAAAUGGGAAAUCAUUGACAAGAUUUCAGUUUCAGACUGUUUUAAAUAAAGGACUUAAGUUUUUGAGUUUAAACACAUCCAGAUUUAAUACGCAUUCGUUUAGAAUAGGAGCAGCGACGUCAGC